GUACACUCCUACGGGAGGCAGCAGUGGGGAAUUUUGGACAAUGGGCGAAAGCCUGAUCCAGCAAUGCCGCGUGAGUGAAGAAGGCCUUCGGGUUGUAAAGCUCUUUUGUCAGGGAAGAAACGGUGAGAGCUAAUAUCUCUUGCUAAUGACGGUACCUGAAGAAUAAGCACCGGCUAACUACGUGCCAGCAGCCGCGGUAAUACGUAGGGUGCAAGCGUUAAUCGGAAUUACUGGGCGUAAAGCGUGCGCAGGCGGUUUUGUAAGUCUGAUGUGAAAUCCCCGGGCUCAACCUGGGAAUUGCAUUGGAGACUGCAAGGCUAGAAUCUGGCAGAGGGGGGUAGAAUUCCACGUGUAGCAGUGAAAUGCGUAGAUAUGUGGAGGAACACCGAUGGCGAAGGCAGCCCCCUGGGUCAAGAUUGACGCUCAUGCACGAAAGCGUGGGGAGCAAACAGGAUUAGAAACCCUGGUAGUCC
rnacentral:rRNA from 1 species